AAGUCGUACAGGUCUCCGUAGGUGAANCUGCGGAGGGAUCAUUACACAAAUAUGAAGGCGGGCUGGAACCUCUCGGGGUUACAGCCUUGCUGAAUUAUUCACCCUUGUCUUUUGCGUACUUCUUGUUUCCUUGGUGGGUUCGCCCACCACUAGGACAAACAUAAACCUUUUGUAAUUGCAAUCAGCGUCAGUAACAAAUUAAUAAUUACAACUUUCAACAACGGAUCUCUUGGUUCUGGCAUCGAUGAAGAACGCAGCGAAAUGCGAUAAGUAGUGUGAAUUGCAGAAUUCAGUGAAUCAUCGAAUCUUUGAACGCACAUUGCGCCCUUUGGUAUUCCAAAGGGCAUGCCUGUUCAAGCGUCAUUUGUACCCUCAAGCUUUGCUUGGUGUUGGGCGUCUUGUCUCUAGCUUUGCUGGAGACUCGCCUUAAAGUAAUUGGCAGCCGGCCUACUGGUUUCGGAGCGCAGCACAAGUCGCACUCUCUAUCAGCAAAGGUCUAGCAUCCAUUAAGCCUUUUUUUCAACUUUUGACCUCGGAUCAGGUAGGGAUACCCGCUGAACUUAAGCAUAUC
rnacentral:rRNA from 1 species